rnacentral:lncRNA from 1 species
CUGGAGCUGAGUCAUUUCAUCUGCCUGGCACUGGAACACGCACAGAGCAGCUCUGCAAUGCGGAGCAGGCACAGGGCGAGCGAACAACCUCGAUCUUACAGGAGAAUUUCCCUGUGUGUGGAAAUACAAUGAGCUUCUCCACUCAUCUCAAGAUGCUUUUGUGAGGAUGCACAACUCUCUGGCACAGACGGAGCCUCACAGAGCGACCUUGCACAAGAUGUGUUGCUACAAGGAGAAGGGUUUAGAUAUGACCAACAGCUGCCAAAGAAGAAUUUGUCUGGCAUCGAGAAAUGAAGGCAGAGCAGAACAUGUGUCCCUCAAAAGACAAAGUACAUGACCCUGGCAGUAUUUCCACUUGCCCAACCAAGCAAUGGAAAGAAAGAAAUGGCCUCAAAUCCAUUAUUGCUAUACCACACUUCUUCCAAAUGGAAAAGGGGUGCUUCUCUUUACCAUGCACCAAGCCUGGCUUCCAGAAGAGAAUGGAACGAACAGAUUUGGAGAGUUAACACUCAGGCUGACCCAAAACAGUGCCAUGGUUCAUUAGCAAAUUAGAGUUUUAAACCCAACAAUUCCUACAGCAGUAACAGCAGGGCAGGAUAUAUUCUUCUGAGAAGUUUAAAAGAAAAUGCUGCCCAGACUACUGAGAUUGCUGGCCAGACCUAGAGGGCUCUUGUACCAUUGCUAUCAUCUGUGCUGAUGCACACAGUUCUUGUGGCAGAACUUUGUUCAGUAGAGAUAAAACAGGUGUACUCUAUGCCCAGCAUUCAGGUUCCUGAGUGCAUUGCCCUUCUUUUUGUCCCUUGUCUUUGUAAAGCUUUAUAUAAUAAAUUUUGUUGGAUCACUUCCA